rnacentral:rRNA from 1 species
UGAGUAACCUGCCCUUCACUCUGGGAUAACUCCGGGGAAACCGGGGCUAAUACUGGAUAUGACUCGAACAGGCAUCUGUUUCGGGUGGAAAGAUUUAUUGGUGGAGGGAUGGACUCGCGGCCUAUCAGCUAGUUGGUGUGGGUAAUGGCCCACCAAGGCGACGACGGGUAGCCGGCCUGAGGAGGGGUGACCCGGGCCACACUGGGGACUGAGACACGGCCCAGACCUCCUACGGGGAGGGCA